AGAGUUUGAUCAUGGCUCAGGACGAACGCUGGCGGCGUGCUUAACACAUGCAAGUCGAACGGUGACCCAGGGCUUGCCCUGGUGAUCAGUGGCGAACGGGUGAGUAACACGUGGGCAACCUGCCCCUGACUUCGGGAUAACUCCUCGAAAGAGGAGCUAAUACCGGAUACGACCACUUCGGACAUCCGAUGGUGGUGGAAAGUUUUUCGGUCAGGGAUGGGCCCGCGGCCUAUCAGCUAGUUGGUGGGGUAAUGGCCUACCAAGGCGACGACGGGUAGCCGGCCUGAGAGGGCGACCGGCCACACUGGGACUGAGACACGGCCCAGACUCCUACGGGAGGCAGCAGUGGGGAAUAUUGCGCAAUGGGCGAAAGCCUGACGCAGCGACGCCGCGUGAGGGAUGAAGGCCUUCGGGUUGUAAACCUCUUUCAGCAGGGACGAAGCGAAAGUGACGGUACCUGCAGAAGAAGCACCGGCUAACUACGUG
rnacentral:rRNA from 1 species